rnacentral:lncRNA from 1 species
UUCAAUUAUUAUCCUCACACCCACAAGAAGGUUCAAGAUAAACACAUAUUACACCACAAUGAAAAUAUGUUUAUAAACAUGCACAUACGUUGAACGCAAGUUGACAAACAAAUUAACCUAGAGGAAGCAUAGUUUUGACCAUCUUAACAAUCAUCUAGAACACACAAGUCACAAAAAUAUAAGGACUAUUAGUUACUAUGAGAGACUUCAGAUGGUCCAGAACACACAAGUUUGUAUCUACAUGCACAAAGUGCAAGCUCCAAAACACUCGAAACACCAAAUGGUCUACAAGACAAUAAGGUCCAUGAUUACAGGUUGGUUGGUCCAUAAACGCUAGAGAGUCAUCAUGUCCAUGUGCGUCAAUAGGUUGAGUACCUAAAAACAUUUUACACAAAUUUGUCAAGAAAGUGGAACCAGAUGUAGGUGCAGUCAUCAUGACCUUCCACAUAAUUAAGGACAGAAACAUCUAUCUAAAUAAAUGACAAGAAUACAAAACAAAAGACAGAUAAAAUUAAGUUGGUUAGCUGGUAGAAGCAAGGAUAGUGGUGAGCUCAAGCAGCUUUGAAAUAUGAUUCUUUAGAAUAAAUUAAGUUGUGUAUAAUUGUAUAUACCACCUGAAAAAUGAUGCCUUUAGUAUAAACCAUGGAAGCCAGAUUUCAUAUGACAUCGCUUUGGCCGACUUUGGCAUUGUAUUUUUUUCAAAAUCACACUACUCUAAAAUCACACGAUUAUAAUGAUGAUUUUAAUCAACCACCAGAUACACUUGUAUCUGGGAGGAAAUUUUUUCAGUCGGCAAUUAUUUUUAUCUACAAAAUCAGAACUUAAACUUUGUUGUUGCUUCAAUAAAAACUUGCACAUUCAGUUUUAAUCGCGAAAGAUGGGUUUCAUCUCUCAAUUCUAUUUCUAAAAGUGAAUGGCACAACUAAUCACAAACCUCCUACAAUCUGACCAGUAUAUGAUUUUCAUCAACCACCAAAUGAGUCAUACUAAGCUAUCAUAUGCGUAUUCUCAAGAUACAGUAGCAGGUGAACAAAUACUCAUUGUUAAUGAGCGUGAUAUAUCACAGAAAUUGCCAUUGCUUUUCUUGGCAAAUGAUUUGGACAAACAUAAAGUAAAAAUGAACAAUGUGCAAGUUUCUCCUACCGGCAUUCACCCCAUUGAUAUCCUCUGUGAGAAUGAGAUCAGGCAAUGCAUCAAAAUCACUAUGCCCAAUCACCGAGAACAAAAUCUCUUCCUUCAGAAAAGUAAUCAGGAGAAAAAGAACUUAUGUUAACUAAGUAAAUAAGCAACUCAGAGGACCUCGAAAUAUUCUUGUAAACUUAGUGCUUAGAACAAGAUUCCAUAAGGCUUACCAACGAAAUGUCACGGUUAGUAACCAGAGUGUAAUUUGUCUUCUUCUCAAAGUGUUUCUUUCAGCAUAUGCCAACUCUGAAUAAUUUAGAAGUAACAAGAUUAUCAAAUUUGAGAAUGUUCAAGAGAAAAUGUGCAAUACUUGCUAGGCAAACUCAUAAUUAUGGAUUAUCAGGUGGAAAAAAAAACAAUUCACAUAGCUAAACAACUGUUUUGGUCGUUAGAUAAACAACUUCAGAUAAUUCUUCAACUAUCCAAGGUAUAUCCCAACAAGGACAAGUGCACGGCAAUUUGUGGGAGUGUACCGUUUGUCGCGACGUGCACAGUAAGCGACGGGCGGGCAGCCGGGGUUCAGCCCAACAAGGACAAAUCCACGGCAGAGAUUGCUGCCACGAAAAAGGUGCGGUUUUUUCUUGGAUCUGGAAUGCGUUUGCUGGGCGAUAUUAUUACUACGGACUACUCCCUCCGUUCCUAAAUAUAAGUCUUUUUAAAGAUGUCACUAAGGGACUACAUACGGAGCAAAACGAGUAAAUCUAUGCUCUAAAGUAUGUCUAUAUACAUCCGGAUGUAGUCUUGUAGUGAAACCUCUAAAAAGACUUAUAUUUAGGAACGGAGGGAGUACUUGCUAGAAUGUGUAUGUUUGCUGGACGGACGGCAUCUACAAAAAUCUGUCCCAACUCUGGAAGCGAUUUCUGGCCAUGGGACAAAUGCACAAGCUACACUCCGUGUAUCUGCAUGCACCAACCUGUACAGUGGCGGUUAUAUGGGUCUUCCUAUUAAUUCGCAUGGUGAAUUUCUCAUGGUCCAAUUAACCCUUAACCCUGAUGAGCUGCUUAAAGCACAAUGCUUGGGGAAGGAUUUCCUUGCCAUCAUUCAAUAUCUACAGCUGAC